CCUAAUGACGCACUGACGUCAAUGCAGGUCAAUAGCACACACUGCUGGAACUGGGCGUGCUACACCAAGCCAGAGCUGGAGCCUUUUCAAACAGCCCCAACUCUGCAAAUAUCCCAGCUUUGCGGGGAGGGGUGGGGGAAGCCAGGGUCUGGUAGGCACUGAGACCCCCCCAUCCCCCUCCAGCACCUUCAAAAUUGAUGCAUGUUUUCCUGAUGCCAAAAAAGAAAAAAAGGAAAAAGAAAAUCCAAACAGAUAUCAUCAGACGCACUGCAGUGCAAAAAAAAAAAAAAAAAAAAAAAAAAAAAAAAAAAAAAAAAAUUUAAAUCAUACCUGUCAAAGGAACCGUAUGUAAUCCGCGCACACAUUUACGCUCAGAAUGCAAUGCAUAUCAUUAGGGUCUGUCUAUAAAUAGACCCUGAGAAUGUGUGCAUCGGGAUUUAGUCCCCAAACGGGGUUUUCGAACGUGGGUGAUGAGUUCUUUGCUCUGAUCAGUUACUCAGGAGGUGCCUGAAUGUGUGGGGGUGGGAGCGUGGGAGGGGGGCUGCCUCCUCUCCCUCCUCCUUUCCUCUGGCUCGCCCCCUCCUUUCUUCUCUUUCUCUCCCCCCCUCCGCUUACCUCCCCUCUUUUCUCCCUCUCUCUCUCUCUCAUUUCCUCUCUUUCUCUUCUUCUCCGUCUCUCCUCCAGUCUCCCCCACCCUCUUUUCUUACUCUCCCCCUCCCUCUCUCCUCUCCUCCCCCUCCCUCUCUCCUCUCCUUCUCCCUCCAAGUCUGGCACUGAACGCGAACUGUUUUGCUUUGCUCCGGGAAGAGUGCAGACACAGAACGUGAAAUCCCGAGCUUUUUUGCGUGGUGCAUUUAAAACGCUUCCUUAUUUAUAUUACCCUCAUUCCCUCACCUCUCCCACCCCCUCACCAGUCCUUCCAAAUUUCCCUAGAAAUCUCUGUAAAGCGUGCGGAGGGGAAAAAAGUGAAGGAGCUCGCCAAGGUGAUCAAAAGUGCCCUGACACCCAGAGGUCUGCGUGAGGGGCGGCCACCAAAGGAAGGGGUCUCAGGCCACAGGAGCUGAAGAGUCUGGACAGAUGAACUCUGGAGUCUCAGGAAAAUAAAAGUUUUAUCUCCUGAGGAACCUUGAAGAUUCUUUUAAAGGUGAAACGUUUCGUCUUUCGGUAAG
rnacentral:lncRNA from 1 species